rnacentral:rRNA from 1 species
GUGGGGAAUUUUGGACAAUGGGCGAAAGCCUGAUCCAGCCAUGUCGCGUGCAGGAUGAAGGCCUUCGGGUUGUAAACUGCUUUUGUACGGAACGAAAAGACUCCUUCUAAUAAAGGGGGUCCAUGACGGUACCGUAAGAAUAAGCACCGGCUAACUACGUGCCAGCAGCCGCGGUAAUACGUAGGGUGCAAGCGUUAAUCGGAAUUACUGGGCGUAAAGCGUGCGCAGGCGGUUAUAUAAGACAGAUGUGAAAUCCCCGGGCUCAACCUGGGAACUGCAUUUGUGACUGUAUAGCUAGAGUACGGUAGAGGGGGAUGGAAUUCCGCGUGUAGCAGUGAAAUGCGUAGAUAUGCGGAGGAACACCGAUGGCGAAGGCAAUCCCCUGGACCUGUACUGACGCUCAUGCACGAAAGCGUGGGGAGCAAACAGGAUUAGAAACCCUGGUAGUCC